rnacentral:tmRNA from 1 species
GGGGGUGACUGGUUUCGACUUCGUUCGUUGAGUUAGGGGAAGCGAGCCGAGGAAGCCGACGUCGUCUCGUUAAUCGUCGUCGGGAAAAAAUAAGCGCCAACGCUAAGCGCGCUGACUUCGCU